GUGUCGUGUCAUUAGUGACCAACACUUCUCAGCAUUGUACCAUCACUACCAUGGUCAUUUUUCUUUUUUUAUCAUAAAUAUUAUAUAUUUUAAAGUCAAGUUAUUAAAUAACAAAGAGGUACUCUUAUUGAACAUAUUUUUAAAUAGGGUGUAGUGUUUGUGUUCAACACAUGUCGUGUCAUUAAAUACCAACACUUCUUGACGUUGUACCAUGG
rnacentral:lncRNA from 1 species